CGAAAAACACCAAUUCCCUUACGAUCAUGGAAGUUAAGCAACAUCGAGCCUGGUCAGUACCUAGAUGGAUGAUCGCUUGGGGAUACCAGGUUCCGUA